ensembl:lncRNA
UGCACCUCAAUAAGACAAGACACUUUGGUGUUUUUCGUCACCUAAUUGCAUUCACCUACCUGUGCACAAACAUGACACUGAAAAAGUGCAUAAUUACUUUCUUUAGAAGAUCAAAAAUACUGAUUAUAAAUGCUGAGUAUGUGGAUGUUUGAUUGGAAUAUUACCUUAAGAAAAUAAAAUAAAUAAAAUAAACCUUUUCCUGAAAAUUCAAGGAAAAAAAUGGAUUAAAACAUUCUUGAAUUUAAAUUUGUAACUGCCCUUUCUAAUAAAAAUGUCAAAACUUGUCACCAAAGAUUUGACAUCAAGUGAAUUUCUGAAUGCUGAUGUCAUCAUUCUUACUUAAAUGGCAUAGCUAAACGUUAAGGUAAUGGAGGUUUCGGCAAAUGAAGUAGUCACACAUAAGGACUUGUAUCUACAGGUGAGAAACAAUUUCUUAAAAACAAUGACAUCAUCUAUAAUCUCAAUUAUUCUCGCACACACCCAGCUUUGUGAAAGUUGGGAUCGUCUAUGAGACUGUCCCAAAUGGGCUUGGGAAACUGUUCACAAUACAGGCCUUACUGAUAUUCUUUUUUUUUUUUUUUUAAAUUUCAUUUGUUUUUAGUAAAUCUCUUGUGCAGUACGUUCUAGGAAAACGUAUCCAAGUGAGCCAGUUCUGAUGUGUAAUUUAUUAGUUCCCACAGUCAUUUGGAGCUAUAAAAUCUCGAUUCAGGCCGCAUCAGCAUGUGAUGUGAAUGUAGCCUUAGUGCUAAUGUGUUCAGGAUUAGAAAGCACUGAUGAAAAUUAUAUACAUCCUUAUUAAUCUUUAUAUAAUUUGCCCAAAACCAUUUUUUCUUUCUUUAAUUUGAUGUCUUGAAAAAAAUCAUUUUAGUUUUUGAUCAAGACUUCAAGGAUGGGAUGAAAACUUUCGUCCAGUAAAUGCACAUCAGGUUCAGCAUGCUCCAAAAUGAAAGUCAAACUGAUGUUGCAGAUGUCAAUUCAACAUCACUUUGAGCUACUUCUUUAAGACUGCUUGGACGUCCUUAUUAGACUUCCUAGUUAGUGUUUAAGAAAUGCUUUCCAUAAUAUCUUUUUUCAGUUUGAAGAAAACAAAAUAAACAUUACCAAUAAAGUUAAUGAGAAACAAUUGUCAGAGUUUCAGCCAUGUUGCUAUGAAGCUUUACUUGAUUGUAAUUUUUAAACUAAAGCCAAGUCUAAACCCUCAAACAGCACUUUGUAUUUAUGAAAGCCAAAAAAGACAUUUUACACUAUACUGUAAAUGCAAAAGCUCCAAAUUAUUAUCAGCUCAUCACAUAAAUUUUAAUGUUAAA